rnacentral:rRNA from 1 species
GUGCCUGUCUCAAAGAUUAAGCCAUGCAUGUGCAAGUUCAACUUGGAAAAGUGAAACCGCGAAUGGCUCAUUAAAUCAGUUACGAUCUCUUUGUUCACUAACGCAGCUACAUGAAUAACUGCGGUAACCCUGCAGCUAAUGCAUGCAAAUUUCAUCUUGAUAACCCUUUAUUGGGCAAUGUGAACUUUUAUUGCUGAUCAAUGACGACCUUCUUGGGCUAUUGGGUAGCACCGCGUAUGUGACGAUUCGUAACUGACCGAUCCCAGAUGGCUUUAUGCCGGGGGACGGAACUUUCGAGUUUUGAGCUAUCAACCUUUGACGGUAGGGUAACGGCCUACCGUGGUUGUGACAGCUAACGGGGAAUCAGGGUUCGAUUCCGGAGAGGCAGCCUGAGAGACGGCUACCACAUCCAAGGAAGGCAGCAGGCACGCAAAUUACCCACUUCUAGCACGGAGAGGUAGUGACGAGAAAUAACACUAUGAACCCUUGUGGUUUGUAAGUGGAAUGGACUGAAUGUAUAGAAUUCAGUGAUUAACGAGUGGAGGGCAAGUCUGGUCCAGCAGCCGCGGUAAUCCAGCCUCCACAAGCGUAUGCAAAAGUUGCUGCGUUUAAAAAGCUCAUAGUUGGAUCUGUUUACGGUAUUACGGUAACAUCUGAUGACGGUUUACCUGAUUCAGCGUAAUGCUUGUACCUUCGCAUCGAUUAGAUUGUUUGCACUUAACCGUGUCGAACUUUCGAAGCGGUGUUUUCACUUUGAGAAAAUUAGAGUGUUCAAAGCGUCCUUUGGGAUUGAAUAAUAAAGCAUGGAAUAAUGGAGAAUGACCCGCGUUUCUUGAAGCAAGGUUGCGGAGAUGCGGUAAUGAUUAAAAAGGAACAGGCGGGGGCCAUUUGUAUUGCUUAGGUUAAAGGUGAAAUUCUUGGAUCCUAGCAAGACAAACUUACUGGAAAAGCAUUUGCCAAAAUUUUCAUUAAUCAAGACGAAAGUUAAGAGUAUUGAAAAGGCUUAAACCCCUCGGUAAUUCUACCUUUAAACUAUACCAACUUUACGACUUGUCAAAAGUCCUAAAUGACUUGACGAGGAGUUACCGGGAAACCAAAGUUUAUUGGUUCCGGGGGAAGUAUGGUUGCAAAAUCGAAACUUAAAGGAAUUGACGGAAGGGCACCACCAGGAGUGGAGCCUGCGGCUUAAUUUGACUCAACACGGGAAAACUCACCAGGUCCAGACAUCUUAAGGAUUGACAGAUUGAAUCUCUUUCACAAUCAUAUGGGCGGUGGUGCAUGGCCGUUCUUAGUUAGUGGAGUGAUUUGUCUGCUUAAUUGCGAUAACGAACGAGAUCUCUCCCAUUUUAAUAGUGAUAGCCACUUAAUGUGGUUAAUUACUUCUUAGAGGAACCAAGCAGAAUUAAAUACUGCGGGUGAAGUGAGGUUAUAACAGGUCUGUGAUGCCCUUAGAUGUUCUGGACUGCACGCGCGCUACAAUGUGAUCUUCACUAUGAUACUGAUACCAUUGACCGAGAAGGUCUGGGUAAUCAGUAAAAGCUCAAACCAUAAAGGGGAUCGACUUUUGCAACUUGCAGUCGUGAACCAGGAAUUCCUAGUAAGUAGAAGUCAACAACUUCUACUGAUUAUGUCCCUGCCCUUUGUCACACCGCCCGUCGCUACUACUGAUUGGGUAGGUAAGCAAGAACUUCGGAUAUUCUCUGUCAAUACUUCGGUUGAGGCAAAGAAGGGUCAAGCUUAUCUGUCUAGAGGAAGUAAAAGUC